UUGCUUCAGCAGCACAUACACUAAGAUUGGAACAAUAUAGACAAGAGUAGCAUGGCCUCUGUGCAAAGACAAUGUGAAAAUUUUGUGAAGUGUUCCAUAUAUUU